rnacentral:rRNA from 1 species
AGUUUGAUCCUGGCUCAGAACGAACGCUGGCGGCAGGCCUAACACAUGCAAGUCGAGCGAAGCCUUCGGGUUUAGCGGCGGACGGGUGAGUAACGCGUGGGAAUAUGCCCUUCUCUACGGAAUAGCCCUGGGAAACUGGGAGUAAUACCGUAUACGCCCUACGGGGGAAAGAUUUAUCGGAGAAGGAUUAGCCCGCGUUGGAUUAGGUAGUUGGUGGGGUAAUGGCCUACCAAGCCUACGAUCCAUAGCUGGUUUGAGAGGAUGAUCAGCCACACUGGGACUGAGACACGGCCCAGACUCCUACGGGAGGCAGCAGUGGGGAAUCUUAGACAAUGGGGGCAACCCUGAUCUAGCCAUGCCGCGUGAGUGAUGAAGGCCUUAGGGUUGUAAAGCUCUUUCAGCUGGGAAGAUAAU